GCUUAACACAUGCAAGUCGAGGGGUAACAGGAGUGCUUGCACUCGCUGACGACCGGCGCACGGGUGCGUAACGCGUAUAGAACCUACCUUUUACUGAGGGAUAGCCUUUAGAAAUGAAGAUUAAUACCUCAUGGUAUUGUAAACUGGCAUCGGUUUAUAAUUAAAGAUUUAUUGGUAAAAGAUGGCUAUGCGUCUUAUUAGCUAGAUGGUAAGGUAACGGCUUACCAUGGCAACGAUAAGUAGGGGCCCUGAGAGGGGGAUCCCCCACACUGGUACUGAGACACGGACCAGACUCCUACGGGAGGCAGCAGUGAGGAAUAUUGGGCAAUGGAGGCAACUCUGACCCAGCCAUGCCGCGUGCAGGAAGACUGCCCUAUGGGUUGUAAACUGCUUUUAUACAGGAAGAAACACACCUACGUGUAGGUGCUUGACGGUACUGUAAGAAUAAGCACCGGCUAACUCCGUGCCAGCAGCCGCGGUAAUACGGAGGGUGCAAGCGUUAUCCGGAAUCAUUGGGUUUAAAGGGUCCGCAGGCGGUCAAUUAAGUCAGAGGUGAAAUCCCAUAGCUUAACUAUGGAACUGCCUUUGAUACUGGUUGACUUGAGUUAUACGGAAGUAGAUAGAAUGUGUAGUGUAGCGGUGAAAUGCAUAGAUAUUACACAGAAUACCGAUUGCGAAGGCAGUCUACUACGUAUAUACUGACGCUCAUGGACGAAAGCGUGGGGAGCGAACAGGAUUAGAUACCCUGGUAGUCCACGCCGUAAACGAUGGACACUAGUUGUUGGAAUUAUUCAGUGACUAAGCGAAAGUGAUAAGUGUCCCACCUGGGGAGUACGAUCGCAAGAUUGA
rnacentral:rRNA from 1 species